rnacentral:tRNA from 1 species
GUUAAUGUAGCUUAAUCCAAAGAAAGCACCUGAAAAUGCUUAGAUGGUUUUUUUUCCCCAUAAU